rnacentral:rRNA from 1 species
CCCUUAGAUGUUCUGGGCCGCACGCGCGCUACACUGAUGCAUUCAACGAGUUUCUUCCUGGUCCGAGAGGAAUGGGUAACCUUUUGAAAGCGCAUCGUGAUAGGGAUAGACUAUUGCAAUUAUUGGUCUUCAACGAGGAAUUCCUAGUAGACGUAGUUCAUCAGACUGCAUCGAUUACGUCCCUGCCCUUUGUACACACCGCUCGUCGCUCCUACCGAUUGAAUGCUCAGGUGAGCCAUUCGGACUUUCAUCAUGCUGGUUUCCAGUUUUGAUGAAGGAAAGUCUUGCGAACCUUAUCAUUUAGAGGAAGGAGAAGUCGUAACA